GUAGAGGUGGCAGAUUUUGGCUUAUGCAAAAGGUCUAAGCCCUUUUCACAGAGGUUCAAAUCCUCUCCUAUACU
rnacentral:tRNA from 1 species